UACGUAGGGUGCGAGCGUUGUCCGGAAUUAUUGGGCGUAAAGAGCUCGUAGGCGGUGUGUCACGUCGUUCGUGAAAACCUGCAGCUUAACUGUGGGCGUGCGGUCGAUACGGGCAUCACUGGAGUUCGGCAGGGGAGACUGGAAUUCCUGGUGUAGCGGUGAAAUGCGCAGAUAUCAGGAGGAACACCGGUGGCGAAGGCGGGUCUCUGGGCCGAUACUGACGCUGAGAAGCGAAAGCAUGGGGAGCGAACAGG
rnacentral:rRNA from 1 species